GAGCGGGUGUAGAUAGACAUGCCAAUCUCAUAUCUUCUGUCGUCCGGUCCAGC
rnacentral:pre_miRNA from 1 species